rnacentral:rRNA from 4 species
AAAUUGAAGAGUUUGAUCAUGGCUCAGAUUGAACGCUGGCGGCAGGCCUAACACAUGCAAGUCGAACGGUAACAGGAAGCAGCUUGCUGCUUCGCUGACGAGUGGCGGACGGGUGAGUAAUGUCUGGGAAACUGCCUGAUGGAGGGGGAUAACUACUGGAAACGGUAGCUAAUACCGCAUAAUGUCGCAAGACCAAAGAGGGGGACCUUCGGGCCUCUUG